rnacentral:rRNA from 1 species
AGCGAACGCUGGCGGCAGGCCUAACACAUGCAAGUCGAACGAAGUCUUCGGACUUAGUGGCGGACGGGUGAGUAACACGUGGGAACGUGCCUUUAGGUUCGGAAUAACUCAGGGAAACUUGUGCUAAUACCGAAUGUGCCCUUCGGGGGCAAGAUUUAUCGCCUUUAGAGCGGCCCGGGUCUGAUUAGCUAGUGGGUGGGGUAAUGGCAGCCCAAGGCUACGAUCAGUAGCUGGUCUGAGAGGAUGACCAGCCACAUUGGGACUGAGACACGGCCCGAACCGCGACGGGAGGCAGCAGUGGGGAAGCUUGCGCAAGGGGCGAAAGCCUGACGCGGCCAUGCCGCGUGGAUGAUGAAGGUCUUAGGAUUGUAAAAUCCUUUCACCGGUGAAGAUAAUGACUGUAGCCGGAGAAGAAGCCCCGGCUAACUUCGUGCCAGCAGCCGCCGUAAAAC